ensembl:lncRNA
CACAAAUUAGCACACUAGGCACGGAUGAGCGUGCCUUACCGUGUUGCAUGGAGGUAACAGAUGCCAGAGCCCGGAGGAGGCGCAAAGCUCACAAACAGAUGCGGGACCGGCAGGAAGCCGGGGACGGGCCUUCCUCCCCUGAAGCAGGAGGACGCGCCCUACAGAAAGCCGCUGGAUCCUCCAGGCAUUUGUUGUGAGCACUUAAUCAUCAUCGAUCAUUUGACGUGUACUCACUAGUAAAAGGCAGGACUGUGUCCCCCCUCUGCUGACCUUGGCUCUUGGGGGCUGAUAUGAGCCCCUGAUGAGCCUCAUGAGCCGGGGGAAGUAGAACAGGCCCAGGUCCAGCCCGUUAUUGGGGGGGGGGAGGAUGGGGACAUGACCGGGAGGUGGGCAAGGAGAGCGUCUACAGCUCAGGGGAGCCAGGGAUCACCGCUCCCCCUUCCUGCAGGUCCCCAGGCUCACUUCCAGGGCAGUUAGCCUGACCACCGCCCACUGACGUCAGUAACUCUCCUUCCCUCCAACGCAGGGCCUCCUGCUGAGGGGUCAGAGGUCAUGACGUCAUCUUGUUGCCAGUCACCGCGGCCGCUGAGCUGAGAGGCGGGUACUGUGACUGUAACCGGUGGCCUGGCCCCUCCCUGAGCUGCUGCCUGGGCUUGGCUUGGGGUGCGGGGGGCGGGGAGGGGGUCUGGGGAGACAAGAUUCAUAAACAGGUGACAGAGGGAAGUGCCGAGAGGAGAAGCAAGAGCCUGGGAGAACGACAGCGCCCGGUCUGCCCCUCCGAGGGACCCCCACCCCCGCCCGGUCUGGCCCGGGCCCGCGGCUGCAGCGUGUGGGGUCUCAGUGGGACCAGCGGACGUCACAGCAGGGGCACGGGGCCUGAGACGCCAGGCGCCUGGCAGGGCCCACACUGGGUGGGCGCACCCCGCCCCUGCCCACCGCCCCCCCGGGAGCUCCCCCUCCCCCUCCUGCGGCUGCAGCUUUCCUGGUCACGGGGUGAGCCUUUCCUCUCUCUCCUCCGCCUCCUUUCUCACCACAAAGGGCGUUCAUGUCACAUCCCUGAAGCUGAGAGGCCUGAGGGGCGGGACCCAGUCAGCGAGGCCCCCAGCGCCGGCCGCAGGGAGCCGGCCCGCCCCUGCGCUGGGAGGCCCGGCGCAGAGCCCUCACGCCGGGAGGGCAGAAGCGCGCCCUGGUCUCCCUCCCCGCCCGAAGACGCCGGGGCGGAGCCGGGAGGGGCGGAGCCGGGGCGGCGCGGGGAGGGGCGGGGCCGGCAGCGCGGAGGCCGGGCGAGCGCGGAGCCAACCGCGGAGAGGCGGCUGCUGCCGGCGGGCCGAGCGCGCGUCGGAGGGAAGCGGGGUCGGGCACAGAGCCCUUACGGACCCCGAGGCUGCCCUCAGGUAGACGGACCCCAGAAACAGAGUUCCCCAAAGUGGACGUUUUCCGGGCGCCUUCCUCCUGCCGGCGGGAGGGCGGGUGAGCUCAGCCGUGUCUGUGGCGGAGACUCGGAGGUCAGGGGAGAGGGCGCCCGACCGACGGGCCUGUGACCGCCCGCACCCCUUCCCCGGCCGCGUCCCGCCCUCCUGAACACCCUCCGCCCGCCCCGCAAGGACGGUGAGUCGCCUCCGCCAACUGAAGCCUCUGCAGGAAAGCUCUCUGUACCCAUCCGCGCUGGGCGCGCACCUGGACCAGUGAAGGAACGUUACAAGGCCGGGCAAUCCCCAAGCCUGCUUCCCCGGCUCACCUGAUGCGCCCCCGAAAUGCUUCACACACGGCCUGAAGAAAAUCAGGCGGUCCCAAACACCCACAGCUGCGGCUCGCCUGUGCGAGGCAAUGGUGGAAGGUGUCCAGUAAAUAAACACCAAGGACCUCCAAGAUACUCGGAGCGAGGCAUCGAUGCCUGAAGGGACACUCAUGUGCUGACCCGUGCAUAGACGUGUCUGAAAAUGUCAUCUCAUCCUGCCCACAUCUGUGCUCAGUCCCCACAAGUCUGCACUGUACCUCCAGCUCCAACCAUCACCACGUGGAUCACAAACCCUCUGCUUGGCCUAACAGGAACUUGGCAGAGGCUUCAUUCUAGGAGCCCUGGCUUAGUGCAGGGCGCCAGGACAUGGCCACUUGGGAGCGGGUCUGCUCGGCCUGUGGGUGCCAUCCACACACUAAGCCAGGUCCCAACUCGAGUUCCAAAUCCACAUCCUUCCCCAGGAGCUGUAGGCCCAAGUGUUUCAGUCCUCAGGCAGGUUGUGGUUCUGCCCCGGGAGCUCAGCCCCAGAACCGUGGGGGAUACCGGUCUCUCACUUUCACACAAAGGCCACAAUGCCUCUGGCUGGCGUGAUGCCCAGAUUCUGCCCCUCAGACACAUGUGUGGCAGCCCUGCCCCCAGCACCUCCCAUCGGGCCUGCCUGUGACAACAAGGUCUUUGAACAGAGAAUUGAGUUAAAUGAGGCCAUUCAGGUGGGCCCUGAUCCAAUAGACCCGGUGUCCUUGUGGGAAGAGGAGGUCAGGACAUAGAGACCCACACACACAGGGUGGCCAAGCGAGGACACGGGCAGGAGACGGCCAUCCACAGGCCACGGGGAGAGGCCUCAGGGGGACCGGUGCUGCCCACACCUGGGUCUUGGGUUCCAGCCUCCAGGACGGGAGACGGUAAAUGUGUGUUGUUCACACUACAUCCAUAACACUCUGUUACGGCCGCCUGAUGGGCAAAUGCAACUGCAGCCUCAGACUUAACCCCAGAUGGCAGGAGUGAGCGGCAAGCAGGGGCCACUCGGCUGACCUGCCUGUGGGGUCGCUGAAUUGCAAAGAGGGUGAUGGUCUCCAGCACCUUCCCUCUGAAUGCCAGCCGUGUGUUACCUCCAGUGUGGACACCAACUUCUCUGUCAUUUAAAACCUCCAUCGCUGCCUUGAUACUCCUCAGGGUGACAGCUAUGCUUCUCUCCAUCUAGUCUUUCUUUUUCCAAAAUGGAGCUAAAAACACACCAGCUGAGAGCUGGGCUCCCCUCCUCUUGCUGCCGUUCAGUUGCUAAGUCAUAUCGACUCUUUGCAGGGACAGUUGAACCAAUUCUACACAUUCUAACGGGAAUGGGGCCCCAGGGACAGAGUGGGCUGCACCCCACGAUGGGGCAGCUCCAAGUACGAGCGACACAGAUGUCUUUACUCCUAAACCCCAGUCAACGGGCAGCAGCACAGCAGCACCAGGAUCGUCUCAGCGGCCCAAACAGGCCCUGAUUGGCAGAGAACCCCAGGCAAGAGCGACCGCAGGGCCACAGGCCUGCUCCAACCCGGACGUCAAGCCCCACCUUCAGUGAGGUAAAGAGUAAAGUCAGAGGAACUUUUCAGAGCACGAAGCAAAGGACACUCCCUCAGAGACGAAUCUGGAGAGAACCUGAGAAAAAGUCAACCAGCACGUGAGUGAAACACAGAAGAGGCAAACCUCCCAGAUGAAAGAGAGAGAAAAAUGGUUAAAAUGCCAAAAAGUGGCACCAGAACAUGCAUUUCACCCUCAACUAUCAUCAGAACUUGUGUGGGGUCUUGUUACACAUGGUCAGGUGGGCGUGUCUGUGAUUAAGUGAGAAGCACCUCCCACUGGUUCAUCCACUUCACUGAGAGGUUUGGUGACACCAAGGAGCUGGGGGUGGCAGGGUAGUAGGGCAGAGGUCCCCGGAUUUCAGAGUCACGGUCAGCAGGAGUGUGAGCAGGGGCUGGGCACCUAGGGGUAAUGUGGGGUCCUCAGCGGGAGACACAGGAGUGGAUGAGCCACCCCGCGAGGGAGACGGUCAGACAGUGAUGGGUCAGGGCGGCCUGGUGCCCCACAGGGGACGCAGGUGAGGGAGGGGGCGGCCUGGAGUGGGGGACCAGGCCCCCCUGACAUCCCCGGGCCCAGAGCUGUGCAGGGUGAAGGCCCGGCCCUGGGGUCUUGGCAGGUGGGAGGGUCCAGUAGGGAAGGAUGGGCCGAGGGUGGCUGGAUUAGAGGAAGG